rnacentral:rRNA from 1 species
UACGUAGGGGGCAAGCGUUGUCCGGAAUCAUUGGGCGUAAAGCGCGUGUAGGCGGCCCGAUAAGUCCGCUGUGAAAGUCCAGGGCUCAACCCUGGAAUGCCGGUGGAUACUGUCGGGCUCGAGUCCGGAAGAGGCGAGUGGAAUUCCUGGUGUAGCGGUGAAAGUGACGCAGAUAUCAGGAGGAACACCAAUGGCGAAGGCAGCUCGCUGGGACGGUACUGACGCUGAGACGCGAAAGCGUGGGAGCGAACAGG